CUCAUCCUUUGAAUGUCACGUGAGCCUUUGAGAUUGGAAUUCAAUACUAGAAGAGAGAAGGAACUUCAGCAAUGAAUGAGAUGGAAUUUUCCUUCCAUCCCAGACGGCUGCCAGCCUGAAGUUAGAAUUAUGUUGGUAUUAUCAAAAUUUUCCUAGCUUUACCUUCAUAGUCUCUCAUUUUUGUGUUUCCACAGAGCUGAAUCACUUUAAAGAGAAGGACCAGAUUCUCAUGGACCCUACUGCCAUGCUGGACAGACAGCUUGCUGCCAUUGUUUUCUUGUUAUUUACUCCCAAACAGCUAGAAAAUUAUUCCCACAUGAUGUUUUCAUAGAGCUACUCUUUUUGAUGUAACAAAAUGGCCAGGUGUCUUUCUUCAUGCAAUCUGGCAUCUUUCCCCUGUCUCAUCAUUGGUGCAGACACUCAUGGAGUUGCAUGCCAGUUUAAAAUGAACAUUGGGUGAGUCUAUACUAGUUUUCUUUCUUUCUUUCUUUCUUUCUUUCUUUCUUUCUUUCUUUCUUUCUUUCUUUCUUUCUUUCUUUCUUUCUUUCUUUCUUUCUUAUUAUACUUUAAGUUCUAGGGUACAUGUGCAUAAUGUGCAGGUUUGUUACAUAUGUAUACUUGUGCCAUGUUGCUGUGCUGCACCCAUCAACUCGUCAUUUACAUCAGGUAUAACUCCCAAUGCAAUCCCUCCCC
rnacentral:lncRNA from 1 species